GAUGAACGCCGGCGGCGUGCCUAAUACAUGCAAGUCGAGCGAACGGACGAGAAGCUUGCUUUUCUGAUGUUAGCGGCGGACGGGUGAGUAACACGUGGAUAACCUACCUAUAAGACUGGGAUAACUUCGGGAAACCGGAGCUAAUACCGGAUAAUAUUUUGAACCGCAUGGUUCAAAAGUGAAAGACGGUCUUGCUGUCACUUAUAGAUGGAUCCGCGCUGCAUUAGCUAGUUGGUAAGGUAACGGCUUACCAAGGCAACGAUGCAUAGCCGACCUGAGAGGGUGAUCGGCCACACUGGAACUGAGACACGGUCCAGACUCCUACGGGAGGCAGCAGUAGGGAAUCUUCCGCAAUGGGCGAAAGCCUGACGGAGCAACGCCGCGUGAGUGAUGAAGGUCUUCGGAUCGUAAAACUCUGUUAUUAGGGAAGAACAUAUGUGUAAGUAACUGUGCACAUCUUGACGGUACCUAAUCAGAAAGCCACGGCUAACUACGU
rnacentral:rRNA from 1 species